GAUGAACGCUGGCGGCGUGCCUAAUACAUGCAAGUCGAGCGAACAGACGAGGAGCUUUCUCCUCUGACGUUAGCGGCGGACGGGUGAGUAACACGUGGAUAACCUACCUAUAAGACUGGGAUAACUUCGGGAAACCGGAGCUAAUACCGGAUAAUAUAUUGAACCGCAUGGUUCAAUAGUGAAAGACGGUUUUGCUGUCACUUAUAGAUGGAUCCGCGCCGCAUUAGCUAGUUGGUAAGGUAACGGCUUACCAAGGCAACGAUGCGUAGCCGACCUGAGAGGAUGAUCGGCCACACUGGAACUGAGACACGGUCCAGACUCCUACGGGAGGCAGCAGUAGGGAAUCUUCGGCAAUGGGCGAAAGCCUGACGGAGCAACGCCGCGUGAGUGAUGAAGGUCUUCGGAUCGUAAAACUCUGUUAGUAGGGAAGAACAAAUGUGUAAGUAACUCUGCACGUCUUGACGGUACCUAAUCAGAAAGCCACGGCUAACUACGUG
rnacentral:rRNA from 1 species